UACGGGGGAUCUAAAUUCAUGACUCAAUUUUUCUUUCUAUAGAGGAGAUAUAAGCGUGCUACGAUUAAGAAAUCAUACUUGUCCAUUUCUCAUAUUUGAAGGGUGGCUCUGCUAACCUAAUCAAACAAAUGGACUAACCUAUUUUUAUUUUUCUAAAUGGAAUGUACGUCUAAAUGUUAUGUUUCACGUAAAUAGGGGUAAGGGAGACAAUAUGUAGAAGAAAUAUCGUGCAAAAUGAGAAAAGGGUCUAAAAAUGAAAAACAUGUAUGAAAUGUAAUGAAUAUCAUGCAAAGAAUGUGAAUCUACUGCGAGACGGUUUAAAGGGUCUAACAUUGGAUUAACCAAUUUCUACUAGUCUUUACUAGCGUUAGACUAGUGAAAAAUCGAGGAGAAAGGCCACAACUAGCGUUGUACUAGUGUGAUGACGUCAUGCAUUUAUUAUAACUAAAUAAAUCUUAUAAAACAUAAUUAAAUCAACUAAAUACAUAAUGCACAUAGAAUACAUAACACAUAGGCUUAAUUUUUAGAUGCAAAACCCUAAUAAAAAAGAAUAAACACGUAAGCACACAAGCAAGUAAGCGCAAAUAAAAGCCUAACUAUUACAUUCGAGGCCCUAACUAUAAUCUAAAGGGAAAAAUUUUAAAAAUAAUAAUCUAACUAUUACAUUUAUCUAACUAAUUAUAUUUUUUGGCAAAAAAUUAAAACCUAUCUAUUACAUAGCCUAACUAAAACCUAUCUUUUGGACCAUUUUUAUUUCUUUUUUGGGCCAAAGCCUCCUAAGGCCAGUGAAAAGUCCAAGGAAAAAUACACAGGCCAGCCCAUAACUUUAAUCAAACUAACCCAGCUGAAAAUGCAUGGGCCUUGGCUUUCAAGCUCAAGUCAAAAUCCAAUCAGAAAUAACUAAAACCCACUUCCAAAAAUCCAAACAAACCAUUAAUCAUCUAAAAAAAUUAAGACCCAAUUAUGUCCUAUAACCCGGAAAUAAUUUGCUCAAAAACACAUUUAAAACAUAAAAAAAGAGGAUUAAAACUUAAAAGAGGCAAAAUUAGUUCAAUUUUUUCAUAUUUUGGACCAUAGUGGAAUUAUUUAAAAAUUGGGGGCCAAAAUAUAAAUUUUCCAGAUUAUUCAUGCAAGCUCAUCGCAGCUUUCUUCUACCCUUCUUCUUCUGCAACUUUGCAACCCAUUCUAUUACAACAUUUCUUACUCUAGGUCAAACAAAAAAAAAACCAUCGAUUUAUCAAUCAAACACCAGUACAAGGAGUCCAACCCAUUUUUAUUUGACAAAACCCAACUACAAAUUCCAUUUCUUGGGGAUCAAGCGAAGAAAGACAAGCAGGAAGAAUGUGAAAUCAACUCAUGGCGGAACCAAUGAAUAGAUCCACCGGAUUCUGAAGAUUUUCUGAUCAAACCAUUAAAUUAUCAAACAUCAUACAAACCCUUUUGUGCGAAUUCCACCCAUCUAAAUAAUCUUUCAACACAUCACAAAUCACAAAAAAUCUAAGAACCUAAUUCAUGCAGACCAACUCAUGUAAUGACCCAACAAUCUCAUGAAAUAACGUUAAAUAGAUUAAGAGGGAAAACUAUCAUCACCUACAAAUUAUUGAGGCUCGAAUCGAUGUAAGAAAAGCUGAAAAAUCUUGAAAAAAGUCACUGAAACGAAGCCGAACAAGUUCCGUUGCAGACCUUGCAAUGCUGAUAAUCUCGUGAUUUUGAGCUCGGAUUCAAAGGGGUUAACGAUGUUUUUUGGAGAAAGUUUCAAGACAAAAUUUGUUGUCCUACAUCUACAGAUAAUGCAGAAACAAAAGGAUCCUCAAAGGGUUAAAAUCAAAGUGAGAAUUGGAUCCAAAGAGGGCUGGUGCAUCAGCUCGGUAUCAAGUUUUCCAGCAAUUUUUCUUUCUUUUUUUCUCUCUAAUUUUUCUUUCAUUUCUCUCUUUUCUCUCCCUUUUUUGCUUUUCUGCCGCCUCCCUCUUGUUUCUUCUUACCCUAGUGUUGCAUUUUUGAAGGUUUUUUCAGGAACAAGGGCUGUUAAACCCUCAUAUCAAUGGUUCUUAAAAAACAGAUUUGUUGCAAAUUUUGGAGCCAUUAGAUGGCUUUAAUUCCAGAAGAUUCUUGAUGUUUUGGAUUAAGGCCAAGUGGCCAUGUAUUGGGGGACUUGAAGAGAAAGCAAAAAUGUAAAAAAAAAUGCAUGAAAAUAGGAUGAAAAUGCAGUUGCAAUAUUGUACCAUGUUCAUAUUUAUGGCUUCUAGUACGAAACCAUGAAGAUGAUGCGCGUGUGCUCAGGUACUUUUUUUUUUUCCAAAAAAUGUAUUGAUUUUUCUAAUUCUUCUUCCUACUUUUCUUUUUGAUUUUUCUAAUUUUUCUUCCUAGUUUUCUUUACUUUCCUUUUCUUUUUCGAUUUUCCUAAAAAAAUGAUUUGAAGUGAUUUUCUUAAGAAACAGAAAUGAAAUAAAAUAAGCUAAAAUAAUAAAAUUUAAACAAAAUAAACUAAAAAUGAACAAAAAUAAGAAUAAAAAUGAAGCAAAAUAAAUGAAAAAAUUUUAGUAUCUACUUGCCCUCUUUGUGUGAAUUUCGCAGAAAUUCAAGAUAAAGAUAUAGAUACCAAAUUACUCACUUGUUUAACCCAACUAGAUCUGAAUUGACUAGUAAAACCUAAUAAAUUGAAAAAUCAAAGUCUAGAAAAUAAAAGGGUUGGUGGGAUAAAAUUUGAACCCAAUAAAAUAACUAUUGGUGGGAUAAAAUUCAAAUUCAACAAAAUAAAGGUUGGUGGAAUGAAAGCCAAAUCUCACAAAAUAAACGGUUGGUGAAAUAAAAUCCAAACCCAACAAAAUAACUGUUGGUGGGAUAAAAUUCAAAUCCAAUAAAAUAAAGGUUUGUAAGAUAAAACUCAACCCCAACAAAAUAAUGGUUGGUGGGAUUAAAUUCAAACCCAACAAAAUAACAGUUUGUGAGAUAAAACUCAAACCCAACAAAAAAAAGAUCGGUGAGAUAAAAUUCAAACCCAAUAAAAUAAACAAUUGGUGUGAUAAAACUCAAACCCAAUAUGGUUGAUGGGAUAAAUGAUAGGGUGCAUUUGAGUGGAGUAUUUCCCUGUUAUUUCAUAGUUGUUGGGACUAAAUGUUGCUCUAUUUGAUGGAUUCUACUCAGGUUUGGCGGUUUGUAUUAAUUGUAGGAAGUAAUGUUAAAAAGUGCUGAAAAUCAAAUUUCAGAGGACUUCUUGACACUUAGGUGUGCUCACGCCUAACCCCGAUCCAAAAAGCCGUACUCAGUCGCACGUGGGAAGCUCCAGAAUAUUGAGCGAUGCAGUGGACUACAACUUUGGAAAACAGUGGUGUCACUCCCAAGCUGAAGAGAGCUAUCUGUAAUAGGAUUUGUUAAUAAGGAAAUUUUUGGUAGUCGGUUACCAACUUUUCAACAUAAGUAGAUAACGUGCGAAGAGCUGUGAUGACCUGGAGGUUUUCGUCGUCCUCUCACGUGCCGCACAUGUGGGUUAGCAGCAUUGUGUUGUUCGCGCAUGGCGCGGCGGGUUCAGCUCCGUUGGCCUCUUCUCUUUCUGUCAGUAACCCAUGUGUCUCCUGCUGCGUUCUCUACCGCAUUGAUAGACUUGUUUCUCUAUCUGGCAGAAUCCAAUGCCUCUGCUUUCGCCUAACUUCUCUCUCUGCUUCUUCUUGACGAUAUUGCUCUGUUUCUCUUCUUACUAUGCAAGGAGCAUUGAUCCUCGGUCUCUCGCGGUCUCUGGGUUGCAGUGGUCUCCGUUGUAUUAUUUUUAUCUCUUCUUCUUUUUACUUCCGGUGAAGUGCAUGAUUCACUGUGAGCUUCCUCUGUGAGUUGAAACCUAAAACUGAUAUUUUUGCUUUUUGUUCUUUGAUUCCCAUUUCGAGCUACAUAGCGGCCAUGCAUCCUCUGUCUCUCGCUUUCUUUGUGUUGUAGUAGCCCAAAUAAGCUGCCGUCCGUUCGCGGUGCCUCCUCCUCCUCCAUUGUACCUUUUCUACCUCUUCCUUUCCGGUGAGUUGCGCUCCUUUCCGGUGAGGUACGCUCCUCCUCCGCCGUUGUACCUCUUCUAUUUCUUGUUAUUUGAUUCCCAUUUCGAAUUGCGUAGAGGCCAUGCAUCCUCUGUCUCUCGCUUUCUUUGUGUUGCAGUAGUCUAGAUCAGCUGCCGUCUGUUCGCGGCGCCUCCUCCUCCUCCAUUGUACCUUUUCUACCUCUUCCUUUCCGGUGAGGUGCGCUUCUUUCCGGUGAGCCAUUGUACCUUUUCUAUUCCUUCCAUAAAAUUCCUUUCCGGUGAGUUUUCUACUUCUUCAUUGCUAGGAGUUAGGCAUGCCUUUUUACACGCAACAAAAAAAAUUGUUAGAACUAGGGUUAACUCCGCCGUUUCUUCUAUUCUCUCCUUUCUUUUCUUUAUUUCAUUCUUUUUGUCUCUCUUUCUUGAACAGAAGACGGUUUUCUUCCCCUCGGCCGCCGCUCCUCAGAUCCCUCAAACCCAGAACUACCAACAAUAACCACCAUCGCCACUUCGCCUUCUACACCAGUAUGUUUUCUUCAAUGUGACUUUUCUCUGUAUGUUUUUAGCCUAGGGUUGAUAUUUCCUCCUUUGGUGUUUUUCCUCUCCGGUGAGCGUCGAUCUUGCCUUUUUUGUUGCAGUGUUUUUUUCCUUUUUUUUGCUUUUUACCUCCACGUUGCGUUGUAUUUUGGUUUGGCUGUUCCGUUAUCUGGUCUACAUGGGUUUGACGUUGGUCUUUGCGUUUUUUCCCCCCUGCGUUGCGCUAUUUUUUUUCCCCUUUUUUGUGGUUCUCCCUUGCAAACUCGAGGCUGUGUAGUUGUGUGUCUUGUGAUGUGGCUUUUUUAGUCUCUGGACUGUUGCUCUUUUUCCCCCCUUCUUGUCCCCCGCCCUUUAAUAUUUGUCUAGCGCUCUCAGAAGAAACAAAAAAUCAUUCUUUCCCCGAGAAAACAAACUCUUUGUUUUUCCAAAGCACUUGCCGAUCUAUUCCAAGAAUUUUCUUUUCCAUAUGCUUUCGGCCUCGCUGGACUAUGAUUGUCAAGAAAAUAACAUUACCGAGUUCUGUUGGUGGUGGUUUCAAGCAAUCGUCUUUUUUUCCCAGAUACAUUGCAGAUCUGUUCAAAAUUUUAUUGUUUUCCAGCACUUUCUAUCGUCAGCUUUUUUUCCCUUUCUUUUUUAUUAGACAUGAUAUAACUAAAAUCAUGUAUUUCUGCUUUAUCUAUUCUGUUCUCCAUAUUGUUGUUGAUCCUUACAGUGAGCAUUUUUUACAAUUUUUGAAUGGCAUGCUUUUUCUCUUCUUGUGGAAUAUUUAGAUUGGUAUUUUGCUUAUUGUUAAGUUUGCUUGUUUUUAUCCCUUUCUUUUUAUUAGACCUGAUAUAACUAAAAUCAUCUAUUUCUGCUUUAUCUAUGCUAUUCUCCAUACUGUUGCUAAUUUUUUCAGUGAGCAUUUUUUGCAAUUUUUGAAUGGCAUGCUUUUUCUCUUCUUGUGGAAUAUUUAGAUUGGUUUUAUGCUUAUUGUUGAAUUUGCUUGUUUUUUUUGCAUAUGUUUUUUUUAGGGAACUUUUUGGUGCUUUUGUUGUGCUACGUUCUCCUUCACUGUGUAAGUUUGUUAACUUUUUUAUGUAUGUAUUCUUAUCUUUUUAAUUCCUUGGGCUCUGUUUUAGUUAGAUUGAUGAUUGUAGAACUUGUAAACUGCUCUUAAGUGUACUCUAUACGUGUUUCUGAAUAAAUGUGUCCAUUCAUGAACAAUUUUCUCUUAAUUUUUCCUUUAAUUUGAAUAUUUCUUCAUGUUUCCUUUUGUUUCUGGUUAGGUUUUUUACAGAGAUGUAUUCCUCCUUUCCUUACUGUAUCAUCAGAAGAUUUUAGAAACCUUUCUCUUCAGCAUCAUUCCCAUUUGCAGAUGCCAUUUCGGCUUUUCUCUCAUCAAGAAUUCAUUGCAUAACUCUGAUUUGUAUUUCCUUCUCUACUCGUUUUCCAGCAGUUUCUCCUCAGAGUUUCUCAUUCCUCUUUUGCUUGUAGUGGUCAUCUGUUUUCUUGGCAAGUUCUGGCUUUUUUCUAUUGGCAGGUGCUCCAGUUCGAUAUUAAAUAGGCUUAGUUCCAUCAUUUUCAUUAGCAACUCCAUAUUGAACUUAGAAGUUGCCAAAUCAGUAUUUUCUCUAAAAAUGUAUUUUUUCCAUGCUUUCUUUUAAAACAGAGAUGACUAGUGGGAUGCUGCUCGUGGAUUUCUCAGUAUCUGAUCUCAUCAAUUUUUUGGGUUUUCUUUUAUAGUGGUAUGGCCAAACCUCUUUGGGUUUUUUUCCUCCUUUCUUAUCUUAUCUUUUUCUCCUUUACUCUUUUAGUAUUUUUAUCAAUUUCAUGCGCAGGUGCUGCAAUUGGACAUUUCUUUGGUUCUUUUCCCUUACACGUUUGUUUCAUCAAUUUAUUGGAAAUGGUUCAGGUUGUUAUGGGAUAAUGUAAUGAGUUUACGCUGCUUUAGAUUGAGACUGAUUUACGGAUGGUGAUUUAUAAUCUCAUGUUAUCAACAUAUAAGACUAACAUUGUGAUUUAUAAUCUGAUUGUGAUUUGUGUGUGAAAUGUGCAGGUUAAGUAGGGGAAACGUAAGAAGAAUCAGCAGCGAUGGCAGUGCCUUUGCUUUCAAAGAAGACAGUGAAGAAAAGGGUCAAAAAGUUCAAGCAACCCCAGACAGAGUGCAAAAUUAUAACCUUUGUCUAUACUGCUUUCAACAAAUGACAUUCUUAAACCUACUAAUGUCUCUGCCGGAUUCACCUUAUCUGACAGCAACUCAAACACUCGCAUCCAACUUGCUAAGAAAAGUGGAAAAGGGGAAUACAGGAAGUGUCAUUAGUCUUCCCAAGCAUAGUAGGAAGGUGAGCCUCUAUCUUUGUAUCAUGAAAUAAACGGUAGUAUGCUAAGGUGUUCUCUCAAAUAUUUAAUCAAUUAGAAAGCUAGGAACCUUCAACUUUGAAGGAAAAAAGAGCAGGGAAGUGAGCACUAAUAAAAAAAAAGGAAAGCCUGCCAGUCUAUAUUUUUACAAUGAAAGAGAAAUCCAUGACCCGUAUCAGUUUUCCUAUCCCUCGCUCUCCUUUUUUUUCUUUUUUUGUCAAUUGAAUCUAUAUCUCAAGAAAGACAUGGAAAAUUCAGUUCAUGCUUCUGAAUAUCAUUGAUCAGCUCUCUGUGUUCAUAGAAAAUUCAACCCAACUCUUUGUACCCGUUUGUCUAACCUCCUUUCCUUGCUUAAGCAGGUCACUCAUCAUGAAUAUGAAGUCUAAACAGCAAAUGGAAGAACAAUUACAAAAAAAGGAAAACCAAAAGUACUGUAAUGUUUGCGGUAUGUAAUUUUGAUUUCUGAUCAGUAUGCAUUGUCGUAGGGGAACGAUUCUUUAUGUGUAUAUUUCUUGGUUAUGUGUAAUUGUCUCUAUUACUACAGGACCCAAGCUGACAUAAAAAGCUAGAGACACCAAAAGCUGUUACACCUAGAGCUGUUACUAAGGUAAUUAAACAAUGAACUAGGAUAAAUUUUCCUUCUCUGUGUCAUCAUGCUGGUUUUUUUAGCUUUUGAUCUUUUGUGGAGUGUCAGUCGUGUCUCACCCAACAAGAAGUAGGAUUUUUGCCUAUUUUUGAUGAAUGGGAUGUACUAGACAGACAAUAAUCGUGCUCACGAAAUUCUCUUACCUUGAAAUGGUGUUACUCUUAUUCAUAUCAUUUAGGAUUAAGUUGUGAUUACUAAUAGAUUAAUGCAAUGAAACAGAGCAAUUGGUUAACCUGAGCAAGGUAAAGUAGAAACAAGGAGAAAUUUAACUGUAUGGGAUGAAGUUUGUCUCUGUACACUGCAGGAUGCCUUGUGAUUACGGUCACAUAUAAUUUAUGUUAUGUGUGCUGACAUUUGUGAUUGGAAUUUCACGAUAGGGAACAAAGGGACAAGUUCAUACAAAUUCAUCUAAUAUAGGUGAUCUGGUUUCAGAAGGAUCUCUGAAUCCUUAUGCAGAUGAUCCCUAUGCAUUUGAUUAGAGGUAUCCCGUUUCAUGUUAGUUCUAUUUGAAUUGCAGUACUUUAAUUAAUGUGCAGUUGACCUUUCCUGCAUUGGGUUAAUAGUUCAUGUACUCAGGUGCAAGAUUUACUCCAUAAACUAGACAAUUAUUUUUAAUUUUUUUGCUACUGGAAAUGGAAUGGGACAGCUUUUGAUUGUUAAACAUUUUUCUUUUUAUUAAGUAUGAAGCGUUUGGGUCGACCGUGAAGAAGCCAGUGCAAAAAAAAAGAAAAAAAAGAUUUGUCUACAAAAAAGGUUGCUUCUACCCACUGAUUAUUCUAUAAGAUUUAUUGCAUGCAUUGUUUUCUAUGUCCUGAGCUACAUUAGACGAGGAAACUUUUUUAAACGUUUAGCUUGUUCAAUAUUGAUCUAGCAUAAUGCUAUGAGAUCAUUUUGGUAAAUCUACAGUCUGGCAUGACUACUGAAUGUUCAGUUGUUCUUGAUACUGCUAAGGAGCUGUUUCUCUUAGUUAAGUUGUUUGUAGUAUCAAAUCACUGCUGCAUCUGGAUUUUGGCAGGAACUAUAUCAUGCAAUAGAAGGCUUUGCAAAUGGAGGAUGAAACUUUUUAAUUCUAGACAUUUUAGCACACAAAAAAUGUACAUUGCAACUGUAAUAAUGUUCCUUCAUCGAUAAACAAGAAUUAAACGUUUGCAUGUGUCUGAAAUGCGAAAUUGCCUGUUUUCGUGGCUCCAAAACUCUUAUCUGGAAGUUUGAUUGCUACAAUAACACAAAGCUCUUGUUAAAGAUGUAUGGCCAAUAUUGCAUUCCCCUCUGCAUCUUGAUUUUUUGUGAAAAGAAAUUAUGUUUCUCGAUUUUUCGUGUCACUUUUGUUUGUGCCUCCAAUCUUUUACCCCAACAAUGUCGUGCCACGUGAGAAAACUAAAAUCAAUUGAGGGUCUCUUGUCAACAUAUAAGACUAUUUGUAUACCUUGCUUGAGGUCAGGGAAUGUAUGAUUUCCCUAGGUUCAUCGUGGAUUUGUUAUUAGUUAUUAGUUUUUAAAAACCCUAUGCAUUCCUUGGUUUCCUUUUUUUUUCGGUGGUUAAUGUUAUUUUUGUUAUAGAGCAUGGAUCCGGGUCACUUUUCAUGAUGAUACUGGGUGUGUAAAUGUUAUUGCAUUAGGUGUCGAAGCUGAGAAGCUGGUUGGUGUUAGCACGCUUGACAUGUUUGAGGCUGCUGACGAUGAGGUUAUGUGUUGCUCUUUUCUCAUGCAUAGAUACCUGAACUUGGAGAUUGUUCAACUAUAUGUAGCCAGGUCAUUUGGAUUUGUCAUUAAUGAACUUUCUUUUAUGCAAUUUUAAUGGUCUGAUUUGUCUACAUGGAUUCUUGAAUUGCCACUUUAUUUCGAUUCAACCUUUUUGCAGACCUUUAAGUUGUACCAUCGUGUGGCUUGUCGAAUUGAACUGACCAGGCUCCUAUGCUAUUUUAACCGUUCAUCCGAUGUAAUCAACAAAGUGACGUGCACUAAAUACGCUGUUGUUGCUUGCUACCCAGUUUAGAGUGGUUGUUUUUGGAUGCUUAUUUCUUGUGCUAUCUUGUCAGCUCGUGAACUUCUUUGAGCUUGUAGUGGCGUCGGUAUUAGUUUUGAGGCUUAUAUGCUAUUGAUACUAAUAGCAUUUAGUGGUUCUGUUCUUUUUAAAAAAUUUUCUUUGGGAUGCUCUGUUAUGCUGCCAGCUCAGAGCCUUUCUUCUUGGGCUGAGUUCUUAGGCAGCAAUAGUAUUUGGAAUAGUGUUAUGCUGCCAGCUCAGAGCCUUUCUUCUUGGGCUGAGUUCUUAGGCAGCAGUAGUGUUUGGAAUAGUGAUAUGUAGACUAUAGACCAUAUGUUUGUUACUUAGACGAUUCAUUCACUUUGACAAUUACUAGACUUUGUUUUGUUUCUGCGUAUCUAAAACCUAGAUCUUUGUAUAGUUCUUUAGCCUUUGGAGUUUUAAGCAACAAACAUUCCUCCUGUCCUAGCUGUUACUUUUGUUAUUCCAACUUAUUACAUCUAAUAAAGUCAAUGUCCUAUUUAUUUUCAAAAUUAUAUACUUGCUACAUAUGUUUUAUGGGCAUCCAUAAUAAAUUAUCACCGCGCAGGGCGCGGUUCAUGCCUCCUAGUUAGGAGAAAAACUAGGAUGAGAUUUAUGUUGCUCUCUUUGGUGGGGCCCGGCCGAAAGAAAAAAGGAGGAAUUCCUUGGCCUUUUGGGCCGCUACCGACGUAAAAGGAUUUGUACUUUUCCUAAGGUUUGUCUUUGACUUUGUUUUUGUUUUUUUAAAACAAUUAGGAAGAAACCAACAAAAGGGCCACAGUUGUGGACACGUGGAAUUUGCUUUUUAUUUUUGGUUUGACCAAAUUGAAAAAGCAUAAGACUCUCUUGUAUGCUUUGCUUUGGAGACAAUUGAAAGCAACAGAAUUCCUUAUUCUUUUCUUCUUCUGUUGACCGAAAUUGGACAGGCAAAAAUUGACAACUUUUCCCAAAUUCCUUACGCAUGGUUUGUGUAAGAACCCGAGAAAAUUAUAUGUAUGUCCUGAAAUUUAUUUCAUUUUAUUUACCUUGAUAUUAGAAACAUUAUAUAUAACAAAUAAUUGGGUAAAUUAAAUGUCUAAUUGAAAUUUUAUAAAAUCAAGAAUUUAGAAAUAUCCUAGAAUGGUGGACAAAUUUCUUAUAGGGAUAUACAAAUUAGAAUAAAUAAAGUUAGGAGUCAAUGCAUGAAAUAAUAAACUACGGGCCUUAGUAAGCAAAUAAGCUAAAAGGACGACCAAUUUAACCUUAAAGGUUGGAUAAUUAACCAUGCAACCAAGAGAGGAAUUGAGCUUCUAGACAACCGAAAGAAACUUAGGCAAAUCACUUCAAAACUCUUGGGCGGUGAUUGAGAGCAAGCUACAGAGAAAUGCUAAGGCAAGCAGUGGAAGUGAGGAAACAAAUAGAAAGUGGCUGGCUAAGUUGGUCGGCCACCGAGUAAAGGAGCCUCGAAGUGUCCAGCACCGAAUGAAGAAUUAGAAGCCGAGUGAAGAAAGCUGUGGAAUGUCUGAUAAUAGCAACAAAACUGAGUGGUGAGGCCUUGAAAUUUCUAUCACCGACUGAAGAGUGAGUGGUCAGUAUUUAGAAUACCAACCGAGAGAGUGAGGGAGAGAACUCUGCAUCUUUUCUUCCUUAGACAGCAGCAACCGAGAAACAAAACAGAGCAAUCGGAUAACUUUCCCAUUUCUACAUUCUUUAGCCGAUCAAAACUGAGAGCUAAAGUGAAGGUUAGGAAGAGAAACUUGCUCGUCCCAUCACUAAUUAGCUCCAGCCGAGAGGAAGAGUCAAAGUUGCUGCAAUUUUAGGAGGAA
rnacentral:lncRNA from 1 species